CAUGCAGUCGAGCGAGAAAGUUCCCUUCGGGGGGCGAGUAAAGCGGCGCACGGGUGAGUAACACGUAGGUAACCUACCAUACAGUGGAGGAUAACCCGUCGAAAGACGAGCUAAUCCUGCAUACGUUGUUCAUGUACUUCAUGAACUAGAAAGAUGGCCUCUUCUUGAAAGCUAUCGCUGUUUGAUGGGCCUGCGUACCAUUAGCUUGUUGGUGGGGUAACGGCCUACCAAGGCUACGAUGGUUAGCUGAUCUGAGAGGAUGAUCAGUCACACUGGAACUGAGACACGGUCCAGACUCCUACGGGGGGCAGCAGUGGGGAAUAUUGCGCAAUGGGCGAAAGCCUGACGCAGCAACGCCGCGUGCGGGAAGAAGGCCUUCGGGUCGUAAACCGCUGUCACAGGGGACGAAACACCCGUUGGUUAAUACCCAGCGGGCUUGACGGUACCCUGAGAGGAAGCACGCUAACUCCGUGCCAGCAGCCGCGGUAAUACGGAGGGUGCAAGCGUUGCUCGGAAUUACUGGGCGUAAAGGGCGUGUAGGCGGCUAGAGAAGUUCGGUGUGAAAGCCCUGGGCUCAACCCAGGAAGUGCGCCGGAAACCAUCUAGCUUGAGAACCGGAG
rnacentral:rRNA from 1 species